rnacentral:rRNA from 2 species
AGGGGGCAAGCGUUAUCCGGAUUUACUGGGUGUAAAGGGAGCGUAGACGGUGCGCCAAGUCUGGAGUGAAAUGCCGCAGCUUAACUGCGGAACUGCUUUGGAAACUGGCGCGCUCGAGUGCGGGAGGGGUAAGCGGAAUUCCUAGUGUAGCGGUGAAAUGCGUAGAUAUUAGGAGGAACACCGGUGGCGAAGGCGGCUUACUGGACCGUAACUGACGUUGAGGCUCGAAAGCGUGGGGAGCAAACAGGAUUAGAUACCCUGGUAGUCCACGCCGUAAACGAUGAUUACUAGGUGUCGGGGCUCCAAGGAGCUCCGGUGCCGCCGCAAACGCAUUAAGUAAUCCACCUGGGGAGUACGUUCGCAAGAAUG